GACGAACGCUGGCGGCGUGCUUAACACAUGCAAGUCGAACGGUGAAGCGCCUUCCUUUUUGGUGGGUGUGGAUGAGUGGCGAACGGGUAAGUAACACGUGAGUAACCUGCCCCCUUCUUCUGGAUAACCGCAUGAAAGUGUGGCUAAUACGGGAUAUUCUGGGUCUGUCGCAUGAUGGGUCUGGGAAAGAUAUUGUUUCGGUGGGGGAUGGGCUCGCGGCCUAUCAGCUUGUUGGUGGGGUGAUGGCCUACCAAGGCGGUGUCGGGUAGCCGGCCUGAGAGGGUGGACGGUCACACUGGGACUGAGACACGGCCCAGACUCCUACGGGAGGCAGCAGUGGGGAAUAUUGCACAAUGGGCGCAAGCCUGAUGCAGCGACGCCGCGUGAGGGAUGGAGGCCUUCGGGUUGUGAACCUCUUUCGCCAGUGAAGCAGGCCUGCCUCGUUUGUGGGUGGGUUGACGGUAGCUGGAGAAGAAGCGCCGGCUAACUACGUG
rnacentral:rRNA from 1 species